GUUGAAACACCGGUUCUUGUCCGAUCGUCUAAGUUAAGCACCGUCAAGCCUAGUCAGUACCUACAUGGGUGACCGCUUGGGAAUACCAGCUGUUGUAAU